CUCCUCUCGAUCCACCCCCUCCCGCCGCGACCUCUCUCUUUCCCUCUUUCUCCCACUCCACCGCCGCCGCCCCGCCUCCCGCUCCGUCACCGAGAGGCUAUCGAGGAGCCGGCAUCGAUAUCCGAGAGGAGUCGCCCUUCGCCGCCGCCGAGAUCCCGUGCCUCUCUACAGAUCCCUCUCGUUCUCCUCUUCGCCCAUCCACCUGGAUCAAAAGUCGAAACCCACCGCCCCUAUGUCUCUGCUGGUGCUCGACGGAAGACGAGGGCGGCUCCUCCCAGCGAUUCCCCGUGGUCCUUGGCGGAGGCGACUGCUAGGUCAAUCCUCUUUCUCUGGCUCACCCAAUUUGCCUGGGCCGGCGAGCUAGGGUUAGGGUUACCAGCGAGACGCCGCCGCCCCGUCAUGUUGCAGGUGCUGCUAUUACCCGCCGUCGGCCCCGUGUGCUUGUGGCCGGCCCGUACUGAUGAUGUUGUUCUGUGGCUGGCCGCCCUGUGUGUUCGUGCUGCUGCUGCUUACCGUUCACCGUCAUGACUUUUGUUAUGACAGUAGUUUUGUUCAGAAAGCGGUUUAAGUGAAGAUCGUAUGGUUUUUAGAUUAUGUGGAGAAUACAUGAGUACUCUUCUGUAGCGUAUUGUUGUUCAACUGAGACAUAUGCAAUGGGUUUGAUCAUGGCAGCGGGUUAAUUAAAGCCAUGAUAAACACUAUACAUGCAGCGGCAAGGUCAGCCUGUUUCUUCACAUCUUGCAGCACCAAGGUGUCUCUCCACAAAAUUUGUGUAUCCACCGUUGACAUUGGUAUUUAUUCGGGAAAGAAGGAACAACACAGUAGACCAAAGCAAAGGAAGAUCAGCCUGAAUCGAUGAACACAAUAGAUAUGGCUAGAAGUUCCUGAAUGUGUAGGUUAGUAGACUGCCCUGAUGAAAUGGUUCAACAGAUAAACAUAGUAUGGGAGGGUUUUUUUGUGCAUGUAUGGGUAACUAAUCUAGAUUUUGAUGUCCACAAUAAGCGUACAACACAAUUACUGCACGUUAAUUAGUUAUCUGGUAUGGAAUUAAUUACCCAAUUUUUAUAUUGGAGAUAUAUUGUAGUUCCGUACCUGUAAUGCAAUGUUGUAGCUCUGUAGCUGUAAUACAAUAUUUUGUCCAUUUCCUUUUCACUAAUGCUGAAAUUUCUUCCUAUAACUCGAGUUCUUAAUGUGGUCGUUUCUUGAUGGAGUUGGUAGAAUUUUGUUCCCAUGUGAUGUCCAUCUUUGUAAAAUAGGGAAUAUCAAGAUGGCGCUAACCGGUGCGUAGUACCUUAGGUGAUGCACAACACAACAAGAGAGGUGUUUGCGGUGGUGCGCCACACCGACACCAGUGGUUCAGAACAGGGUAUGGUCCGUAGUGUUCCUCUAGGGAUUAAAUUAUGUUGUUCAGGCUCAUAUUUUAUAGUAAACAAUAAGCCAUUUUCAGUUAUGACAUUCUGUUACAGAAAAUUGUGUCUCAUAUAAAUAUAUUCUUGUCGAAAUAGUGGGAGUUUAGUCCUCUUUCAGAAUUUAAUAUUUGCCUAUUGAAACUUUGACAAUGUAUGUAGCAGGGUUUCUCAACGGAAACCAUGUCAAGUUCUGUUUACCUUUAGGGUGGAGUUACAAUUGUUCGCAGGAUCCUGGGUACACCAUGUGAAUAUCUACGCAGGAAUAGAAAAACUGCAGCUUAAAGAACUGGAAGAAUUCCAAGAAAGAUCAUUGCUUCAAGGUUGGGAGCGGCCACAACAUAAUUGGCAUCAAAAUUAGAUGGGCCAUACAUAUCCUGUCUCGCUUGUUGUUGUGGAACAGUCAUCUGAUAUGUUCAUAUGUGAAUGAUCCACCCAAUCAUCUACAAUGCUUUCCAAGGACAUUAUGGUCCCAACAUUGGAGCCAAAAGAUCAUGUGGCAAUAUCAAAUGGUUGUUUCGGCAUUUCUUGGGUUACAAACUGGUUUCCUUUGUGGCUGGUUUUAGAUAACCAGAGAGACUGGUCUACCGGGAGGAAUGGGUAAAUUCCCAUUUGUUAUUCAUAAUAAUAUGUGAGAUAUUUAUUGCACUAUUGUUUAUUAUGAAAGGCGACAGUGAACCACGAGAGAUGAUAGUCGGAGUUGAAUAUGACAUUGAUGUGUUAUGGGGGGAUGGAGAACACAAUAAUGCCGUGAAAAGCAUAGAUGGAUGAAGAUUUAGGAAGACGACAAUAUUGUUUGUUGAGCACUUACAACGUGGAGGGGAACACAAGCAAAUAGGUAUCACGGUGGUUGCUACUGAGAGAGAAGUGAAAAGAAGAAAAGACACAACAUGAAGCGGAAGACAAUCAGUAUCCUACAAUGGUAUAUGCAUGGUGUGGCCCCUCACACUAAGAUGAUCGAGCAGCGACCUACUGUUCACAAUACAGAUUGAUGAUGCCUCCUCAAUAUCUACUUCUUCGCCGCCCCCAACCCUGGUAUAGUAUGAAAAUCCUAUAAAUAAAUAAGAAGAAUAGGUAAUUAUCGAAUGCUUAUGUUUGUUGGUGUAUUAGUUCUUUUAGGUCCAAUCCUGUAGGAUGUUUCUCACACUUUCAUUUAGUUGAGUGAUUUUGUAUGCUAAUAAUACAAUAGAUUGAUCUACUUAAUAUUUUUGAGUGCAUGAUGCUUUGAUGUGAAGGUCUACAUUAUUAUUGUUGGGCCUAAAUGACAUCAGAGACUUGAACGGGGGAUGAUGCCUCAUUUACCUGAUUGGUGUGCUUUCUUAGUUCCAUUUUGUUUAGGUUUAGGUUUAGAUGUUUUCUUCAACCUGCAGGCUCAGUCACCUUCAAUCUUCUACUUCGACUUCCAUGCGGAAUGUUCAACAAAAUAUCCAACAGAAGUACAACUGCUCUUAAUUUGUGUUGUUGUGUUUUGAAUGAUGACUCUAGGUAUAGUAGAAAUGUAGUAUUAGGAAUACAUGGACGUGCAUAUCCAUUUCAUGGCUGUACUAUGGGGGAGGCAUGAGGUCAAUAUCCCAUAUUAGCUAUAUCUUGUUCAUAUAUUUUUGUGUUUGCUCUCGGCGGUGGGUUGUUGCUGUUUGAUAAUGGUCCAAUUUGGUUGUUUUUAUGAUCUUAUCAAUAUAUUUUACACUAUACAAAUUAAAUUUUGAUAGUUUUAGUAAAUUAGUCAUGUUAUUUAUUUCCCAAUG